UAUUUAAAGGUUUCCCUGUCAAGUGACUUUGGGUUUCGAUUAUUGGGUGAUUACGGAUUGCAUAAUUUAGAAAAAGGGUCACAGGGUAUACGAGGAUCAUAGAAAGCAAACAACUGCAAUCUUCUUUAUCUUUUUCUUUUGCUUGUCUUCUUAAGCCAUCACCCUGUUUUUUGCAUUGCACUUGCUCCACUGUGAUUGGUUGUGAUCGGAGUCACUCUGUUUUGUUGAAUUAUAGUUGGGUGUCUGGUAUGGAAUUGGGUAUGUCUUGUUUUUUAGGGCUUCUUGAUGUUUGUCUGUGAAACGAUAUGAGUUUAUUUUCCCUAUUUCUGUUAUAGUGAUUGAAGUUCAAUCACUACAUUGUAUCUCUAAACAGCAACGUUUUAUUCUUUCUCAUGAAAGAAAGACGGGCCGAGCCAUUCAGAUUCACAAGCCACAGCAUGAUGUUUCAAGGUUGAACAUGAUUGGUGACAGUGUUGGUAAGGUAUGAGCAUCCUGGCAGAAAACUGGACUGGAUUAUAUAGAUUGUAUUAGUAUUGUUAUCAUUAAUGUGAUGCACAUAAUGGGGUUUCUAAUUUGACAAAUUAUGUGAUUACUACAUUAUUAAUAUGGUCAGAGAGGAGCUCAGUACUAUAGGCAAUAGAUGGAAAAGCCCUAAAACAUCAUGUUAUAGAUAUUGUGGGUUCACUAGCCUCUAAUGAAUUUGACAUUUGACUCCAUCAUUGCCCAAUCAUUGCUUGAUUGAUAAAUAAUGCUAUCAAUCCAUAUGACUCUAGUUAAGGCCAUAUUUGUGUCAAGGAUUCGUAGGUUAUGGUAAAUCUUCUAUCAAGUCUUAUUAACAGAAAGGUUGUGUAUGGAGAGAUGUUUCCCUUGUGAAGCUAAAACGGGCCUGAAUGAAGUUCGUGCUCUAUUUCUGAUAUUUACGAAGCUGCCAACAUGGAAGCUGAAGCCCUGCAUGGUGAACACCUGCAAGGGAUAAUCUCUGCCAAUGCUGCAGGGAUAAUCUUCGCAUUUUGGACAGGAAGGGAUAAUCUCUGCCAAUAAUGAAUCUCAAUCACUGCAUUGUCUCUCUAAACAGCAAUGUUUUAUUCUUUCUCAUGAAAGAUGGGCCGAGCCAUUCAGAUUCACAAGCCAUAGCAUGAUGUUUCAAGGUGGAACAUGAUUGGUGACAGUGUUGGUAAGGUAUGAGCAUCCUGGCAGAAAACUGGAUUGGAUUAUAUAGACUGUAUUAGUAUUGUUAUCAUUAAUGUGAUGCACAUAGUGGAUUUUCUAAUUUGACAAAUACUGUGAUUACUACAUCAUUAAUAUGGUCAGGAGAGGAGCUUAGUACAAUAGGCAAUAGAUGGAAAAGCCCUAAAACAUCAUGUUAUAGAUAUUGUGUGUUAACUAGCCUCUAAUGAAUUUGUAUUUGAUCCAAUCAUUUCCCAAUCAUUGCUUGAUUGAUAAAUAAUGCUAUCAAAUCAUAUGACUCUAGUUAAGGCCAUAUUUGUGGCAAGGAUUUAUAGGGUAUGGUAAAUCUUCUAUCAAGUCUUAUUAACAGAAAGGUUGUGUAUGGGAGAGAUGUUUCCCUUGUGAAGCUAAAACCAGGAAUUCAUAUUAUUUCAAGGCACUAAUAGUUGAAGAAAAGAUUCUGCGGGAGUUUUGAGCUUGCCAUUGAAUUUUGAUACUCCCAUGUGCGUAUAGACUAUAGUAAUUAAUAGAUAUGCAUGCCAUUACUUGUUAAGCUGUUUUAGCUUCUUUAACACAUUGGACUUAGCACUCUAGAAAUAUUUCAAGAUAUGUAAAUUGCAUAA